rnacentral:rRNA from 1 species
CCUACGGGGGGCAGCAGUGAGGAAUAUUGGUCAAUGGGCUUACGCCUGAACCAGCCAAGUCGCGUGAGGGAAGACUGCCCUAUGGGUUGUAAACCUCUUUUGUCAGGGAGCAAUUGGCGCUACGUGUAGCGUUAUCGAGAGUACCUGAAGAAAAAGCAUCGGCUAACUCCGUGCCAGCAGCCGCGGUAAUACGGAGGAUGCGAGCGUUAUCCGGAUUGAUUGGGUUUAAGGGUUGCGUAGGCGGAAUGCCAAGUCAGCGGUAAAAUCGCGGGGCUCAACCUCGCUCCGCCGUUGAAACUGGCGUUCUUGAGUGGGCGAGAAGUAUGCGGAAUGCGUGGUGUAGCGGUGAAAUGCAUAGAUAUCACGCAGAACUCCGAUUGCGAAGGCAGCAUACCGGCGCCCAACUGACGCUGAAGCACGAAAGCGUGGGUAUCGAACAGGAUUAGAUACCCGGGUAGUC